GACUUGUCCAAAGCUAGUGGAUUAUCUCAAUUGAUUGUUCAUAGUUACAGAUUGAUCUCCUCAUUCUCUCUUUCCUCCUUUCCCACUACUGCUCUUGACUAGUUGUUG
rnacentral:Y_RNA from 1 species